GAUUCGUCACACUAUCAUUAACUGAAUCCAUAGGUUAAUGAGGCGAACCGGGGGAACUGAAACAUCUAAGUACCCCGAGGAAAAGAAAUCAACCGAGAUUCCCCCAGUAGCGGCGAGCGAACGGGGAGGAGCCCAGAGCCUGAAUCAGCAUGUGUGUUAGUGGAAGCGUCUGGAAAGGCGCGCGAUACAGGGUGACAGCCCCGUACACAAAAGCGCAUGUGCUGUGAGCUCGAUGAGUAGGGCGGGACACGUGGUAUCCUGUCUGAAUAUGGGGGGACCAUCCUCCAAGGCUAAAUACUCCUGACUGACCGAUAGUGAACCAGUACCGUGAGGGAAAGGCGAAAAGAACCCCGGCGAGGGGAGUGAAAAAGAACCUGAAACCGUGUACGUACAAGCAGUGGGAGCACCCUUCGGGGUGUGACUGCGUACCUUUUGUAUAAUGGGUCAGCGACUUAUAUUCUGUAGCAAGGUUAACCGUAUAGGGGAGCCGGAGGGAAACCGAGUCUUAAUUGGGCGUUAAGUUGCAGGGUAUAGACCCGAAACCCGGUGAUCUAGCCAUGGGCAGGUUGAAGGUUGGGUAACACUAACUGGAGGACCGAACCGACUAAUGUUGAAAAAUUAGCGGAUGACCUGUGGCUGGGGGUGAAAGGCCAAUCAAACCGGGAGAUAGCUGGUUCUCCCCGAAAGCUAUUUAGGUAGCGCCUCGUGAAUUCAUCUCCGGGGGUAGAGCACUGUUUCGGCUAGGGGGCCAUCCCGGCUUACCAACCCGAUGCAAACUGCGAAUACCGGAGAAUGUUAUCACGGGAGACACACGGCGGGUGCUAACGUCCGUCGUGAAGAGGGAAACAACCCAGACCGCCAGCUAAGGUCCCAAAGUCAUGGUUAAGUGGGAAACGAUGUGGGAAGGCCCAGACAGCCAGGAUGUUGGCUUAGAAGCAGCCAUCAUUUAAAGAAAGCGUAAUAGCUCACUGGUCGAGUCGGCCUGCGCGGAAGAUGUAACGGGGCUAAACCAUGCACCGAAGCUGCGGCAGCGAACGUAUCACCCAAGACAACUUUACGGAGUUGACGAUUGACGGAGCGAAGCGACGUCAAAGCGUUCAUUAAAGUCGAGUUGGCUUAGGGAUACGUUCGUUGGGUAGGGGAGCGUUCUGUAAGCCUGUGAAGGUGUGUCGUGAGGCAUGCUGGAGGUAUCAGAAGUGCGAAUGCUGACAUAAGUAACGAUAAAGCGGGUGAAAAGCCCGCUCGCCGGAAGACCAAGGGUUCCUGUCCAACGUUAAUCGGGGCAGGGUGAGUCGACCCCUAAGGCGAGGCCGAAAGGCGUAGUCGAUGGGAAACGGGUUAAUAUUCCCGUACUUGGUGUUACUGCGAAGGGGGGACGGAGAAGGCUAUGUUGGCCGGGCGACGGUUGUCCCGGUUUAAGCGUGUAGGUGUGUGUUCCAGGUAAAUCCGGUUCACUUUAACACUGAGGCGUGACGACGAGGCACUACGGUGCUGAAGCAACAAAUGCCCUGCUUCCAGGAAAAGCCUCUAAGCAUCAGGUAACACGAAAUCGUACCCCAAACC
rnacentral:rRNA from 1 species